rnacentral:rRNA from 1 species
AUGUGACCUCAAAUCAGGUAGGACUACCCGCUGAACUUAAGCAUAUCAAUAAGCGGAGGAAAAGAAACUAACAAGGAUUCCCCUAGUAACUGCGAGUGAAGCGGGAAAAGCUCAAAUUUAAAAUCUGGCAGUCUUUGGCUGUCCGAGUUGUAAUCUAGAGAAGUGUUAUCCGCGCUGGACCGUGUACAAGUCUCCUGGAAUGGAGCGUCAUAGAGGGUGAGAAUCCCGUCUUUGACACGGACUACCAGGGCUUUGUGAUACACUCUCAAAGAGUCGAGUUGUUUGGGAAUGCAGCUCAAAAUGGGUGGUAAAUUCCAUCUAAAGCUAAAUAUUGGCGAGAGACCGAUAGCGAACAAGUACCGUGAGGGAAAGAUGAAAAGAACUUUGGAAAGAGAGUUAAACAGUACGUGAAAUUGCUGAAAGGGAAACGCUUGAAGUCAGUCGCGUUGUCCAGGGAUCAACCUUGCUUUUGCUUGGUGUACUUUCUGGUUAACGGGUCAGCAUCAAUUUUGACUGUUGGAAAAAGAUUAGGGGAAUGUGGCAUCUUUGGAUGUGUUAUAGCCCUUGGUUGUAUACAAUGGUUGGGAUUGAGGAACUCAGCACGCCGAAAGGCCGGGUUUUUAACCACGUACGUGCUUAGGAUGCUGGCAUAAUGGCUUUAAUCGACCCGUCUUGAAACACGGACCAAGGAGUCUAACAUGCCUGCGAGUGUUUGGGUGGAAAACUCGAGCGCGUAAUGAAAGUGAAAGUUGAGAUCCCUGUCAUGGGGAGCAUCGACACCCGGACCAGACCUUUUGUGACGGUUCCGCGGUAGAGCAUGUAUGUUGGGACCCGAAAGAUGGUGAACUAUGCCUGAAUAGGGUGAAGCCAGAGGAAACUCUGGUGGAGGCUCGUAGCGAUUCUGACGUGCAAAUCGAUCGUCAAAUUUGGGUAUAGGGGCGAAAGACUAAUCGAACCAUCUAGUAGCUGGUUCCUGCCGAA